GAUGAACGCUGGCGGCGUGCCUAAUACAUGCAAGUCGAGCGAACAGACGAGGAGCUUGCUCCUCUGACGUUAGCGGCGGACGGGUGAGUAACACGUGGAUAACCUACCUAUAAGACUGGGAUAACUUCGGGAAACCGGAGCUAAUACCGGAUAAUAUAUUGAACCGCAUGGUUCAAUAGUGAAAGACGGUUUUGCUGUCACUUAUAGAUGGAUCCGCGCCGCAUUAGCUAGUUGGUAAGGUAACGGCUUACCAAGGCAACGAUGCGUAGCCGACCUGAGAGGGUGAUCGGCCUCACUGGAACUGAGACACGGUCCAGACUCCUACGGGAGGCAGCAGUAGGGAAUCUUCCGCAAUGGGCGAAAGCUUGACGGAGCAACGCCGCGUGAGUGAUGAAGGUCUUCGGAUCGUAAAACUCUGUUAUUAGGGAAGAACAAAUGUGUAAGUAACUAUGCACGUCUUGACGGUACCUAAUCAGAAAGCCACGGCUAACUACGUG
rnacentral:rRNA from 1 species